rnacentral:rRNA from 1 species
CCUACGGGUGGCAGCAGUGGGGAAUAUUGCGCAAUGGGCGAAAGCCUGACGCAGCGACGCCGCGUGAGGGAUGAAGGUCUUCGGGUCGUAAACCUCUGUCAGCAGGGAAGAACGGUCACUGUCCUAAUCAGCAGUCAAUUGACGGUAACUGCAAAGCAAGCACCGGCUAACUCCGUGCCAGCAGCCGCGGUAAUACGGAGGGUGCGAUCGUUGAUCGGAAUUACUGGGCGUAAGGCGCUCGUAGGCGGUAUGGCAAGUCAAGGGUGAAAUCCCCGGGCUCAACCUGGGAACUGCCGUUGAAACUGGCAAACUGGAGUGGGUGAGAGGAGAGUGGAAUUCCAGGUGUAGGAGUGAAAUGCGUAGAUAUCUGGAGGAACAUCAGUGGCGAAGGCGACUAUGUGGCACAUAACUGACGCUGAGGAGCGAAAGCGUGGGUAGCAAACAGGAUUAGAUACCCUUGUAGUC